rnacentral:rRNA from 1 species
GUACACGCUGUGACUCAGCAUAUCAAUAAGCGGAGGAAAAGAAACUAACAAGGAUUCCCUUAGUAACGGCGAGUGAAGCGGGAAGAGCUCAAAUUUGAAAUCUUCAAGGUUUUACCUUGACGAAUUGUAGUUUAAAGAAGUGUUUUCUGUUGAAGUUUUGGUAAAAGUUCUUUGGAAUAGGACAUCAUAGAGGGUGAGAAUCCCGUAUUUGACCUUUACUUUCUAACUUUGUGAUACACUUUCAAAGAGUCGGAUUGUUUGGGAAUGCAGUCCAAAAUGGGUGGUAAAUUUCAUCUAAAGCUAAAUAUUGGCGAGAGACCGAUAGCGAACAAGUACCGUGAGGGAAAGAUGAAAAGAACUUUGAAAAGAGAGUUAAACAGUACGUGAAAUUGUCAAAAGGGAAGCGUUUGACACCAGUGUUGUUUUUCUGAAAAUCAAUUAAAGAACUGUUUAUGCUAAGUUGUUUAGACUUUAUCAGCUAACUGUUUAGUUUUGAGCUUUUCUUUAAUGCACUUUUCAGUUAACAAGUCAACAUCAAUUUCUUUUGCUGUAAAAAAGCUUGAGGAAGGUGGCUUGAGAUUCGUCUUAAGUGUUUAUAGCCUCUUGCCUAUGCAGUCGGAGAGAUUGAGGUCUGCAGCGUAGAUCCUUCGGGGCUAAAUGCAUUUGUGCUAAGUUAUAGCAUUUUAUAGACAACUUGUUGACUAUGAUUUGUCUUGUAGCUUACUCGCUUAUGCUAUUUUACCUACGCUUAGGAUGUUGAGCGCAUGUCUCUCUCU